rnacentral:rRNA from 1 species
GAGCGAAAGCUUGACCCAGCAAUAUCAAUAGAGUGAACGAAGAUUUUUAAUCGUAAAACUCUUCCUUUAGCUAAGAUAAUGACUUAAACUAAAGAUUAGCACUGGCAAAAUCUCGUGCCGCCGCCGCGGGUAAUACGGGUAGCGCUAGUGUUAUUCCUCUUGAUUGGGCGUAAAGGGUGCGUAGGCGGUAUAAUAAGUUAGAAAUGAAAGACUAUGCUAAUCAAUUGUAAAUUUCUAAAACUGUUAUGCUAGAGUAAUAUAAAAGAUAGUGGAACCUUUAACAUCAGAGUUGAAAUGCGUAUACAUUAAAGGGAACCCCGACGGCGAAAGCAACUAUCUAUUUAUUUCUGACGCUGAGGCACUAAGGCAUGGGGAUCAAAUANGAUUAGAUACCCUGGUAGA